rnacentral:lncRNA from 1 species
CAGACAGACAGACAGACAGACAGACAGACAGACAGACAGACAGACAGACAGACAGACAGACAGACAGACCUGAUUGAGGGAGAGAUGGGAGAAGUGCUGCUGUGGGGUUAUGGGUUUGAGGGACAUAUGCUGUGGGAUUGAGAGAUAUAGACGGGAGAGAGGAGAAGGUCUGUUAUGUGUUUGAGAGAGGUGUAGUUGGAGGACGGAGAGGGGUUGUUAUGUGUUUGAGAGAGGUGUAGUUGGAGGACGGAGUGGGGUUGUUAUGUGUUUGAGAGAGGUGUAGUUGGAGGACGGAGUGGGGUUGUUAUGGGUUUGAGAGAGGUGUAGUUGGAGGACGGAGUGGGGUUGUUAUGUGUUUGAGAGAGGUGUAGUUGAAGGACGGAGAGGGGUUGUUAUGAGUUUGAAAGUGGAAAGCGAGAAGAUGCAGAGGCUUGCAUGAUGUGGGAUGAUGGGAGAUAUAGAGCUGGAAGAGAUGGAGUGGUCAAAGUGUCAUGGGACUAGGGGAGAGGUAAAGGGAGCGACGGGACGGCUGUAGUGUUGUACAGAGAGAGAGGUACAGCUGAGGAGUACAAGGAUAUAUGUUGUGGGAAUGAGGAAAAGGCAGUUGGGAGAGAGAGAUGGGGGAGAGGCACAGGGUUAAGGUACUCUGUCACAUAAUGAGAGGGCUUGUACAGUACAGCAUUGUGGGAAUAAGGGAGAGGCAGAGGGAGAGAUGGCCGUCUCUGGCAGGUAGCACAUCAGAGACAGGGAGAGCUAAUGUCUCACAGGAUGGGAUGACAAAUGUGCCAGACAUGAAAGACUUCCCCAGGCCUCAGGGAACUACUUUACCUGCACACACAGCACAAACACACAUCAAGGCAGAGAACAUCCUCCACACACAUACAUGCAGGGACACACAGACGCAGGGACACACAUGCACAUACACACACACGUUUGCAUGCACACAGGCUUGUAAGCACGCACGCAUGGGAAAUCAAAUGCAAACACAAUUUAAUAUAAUUUCCCAUAUUAUAUUAUAUGGGCGCAGAAAUAGAAUAUACACUGACUGUACAAAACAUUAGGAACACCUUCCUAGUAUUGAGUUGCGUAUUGAGUACCCCUUUUCCCCUCAGAACAGCC